CCUACGGGAGGCAGCAGUGAGGAAUAUUGGUCAAUGGGCUUACGCCUGAACCAGCCACGUCACGUGAGGGAAGACUGCCCUAUGGGUUGUAAACCUCUUUUGUCAGGGAGCAAUUGGCGCUACGUGUAGCGUUAUCGAGAGUAACUGAAGAAAAAGCAUCGGCUAACUCCGUGCCAGCAGCCGCGGUAAUACGGAGGAUGCGAGCGUUAUCCGGAUUUAGUGGGUGUAAAGGGUGCGUAGGCGGAAUGCCAAGUCAGCGGUAAAAUCGCGGGGCUCAACCUCGCUCCGCCGUUGAAACUGGCGUUCUUGAGUGGGCGAGAAGUAUGCGGAAUGCGUGGUGUAGCGGUGAAAUGCAUAGAUAUCACGCAGAACUCCGAUUGCGAAGGCAGCCUGCCGGCGCCCUACUGACGCUGAGGCACGAAAGUGCGGGGAUCGAACAGGAUUAGAUACCCCGGUAGUC
rnacentral:rRNA from 1 species